rfam:Ancylostoma ceylanicum strain HY135 Acey_s0830_scaf, whole genome shotgun sequence.
GUCCUCAUGGCUCAAUCGGUAGAGCGUCCGACUAUCAGUCAGGCGGUCGCUGGUUCGAGUCCGGUGGAGAUCC